GGGCGUUUGGCACAGUGGUAGCGCGCACGCUUUGCAUGCGUGAGGUCGAGGGUUCAAACCCCUCAACGUCCA
rfam:Ceriporiopsis subvermispora B unplaced genomic scaffold CERSTscaffold_14, whole genome shotgun sequence.